UCAGGACGAACGCUGGCGGCGUGCUUAACACAUGCAAGUCGAACGGAAAGGCCCUGCGUUUGUGGGGUGCUCGAGUGGCGAACGGGUGAGUAACACGUGAGUAACCUGCCCUUGACUUUGGGAUAACUUCAGGAAACUGGGGCUAAUACCGGAUAGGAGCUCCUGCUGCAUGGUGGGGGUUGGAAAGUUUCGGCGGUUGGGGAUGGACUCGCGGCUUAUCAGCUUGUUGGUGGGGUAGUGGCUUACCAAGGCUUUGACGGGUAGCCGGCCUGAGAGGGUGACCGGCCACAUUGGGACUGAGAUACGGCCCAGACUCCUACGGGAGGCAGCAGUGGGGAAUAUUGCACAAUGGGCGGAAGCCUGAUGCAGCAACGCCGCGUGCGGGAUGACGGCCUUCGGGUUGUAAACCGCUUUCGCCUGUGACGAAGCGUGAGUGACGGUAAUGGGUAAAGAAGCACCGGCUAACUACGUGCCAGCAGCUGC
rnacentral:rRNA from 1 species